ncrna:unclassified sequences Glutamine-II riboswitch (downstream peptide RNA)
GUUCGUUCACCCUUAUGGGCGCAUAACACCUAGAGCAUGGAACGGGGCCUAGG